CAAAGACAGUGCUGACAUCAGCACGUCUUAGAAGGUCAGCAUUCUAAGAUGAUGCUGAUGUAAGCACCGUCUUUGAAUGCUGACCUUCUAAGACGUGCUGAUCUCAGCACCCUCUUA
rfam:Glycine soja cultivar W05 scaffold995_11, whole genome shotgun sequence.